rnacentral:sRNA from 1 species
UGCCUAAACUCGUAGCUUGCUACGGGCAUGGCUCUAAAACCUUUCCAGAUAUUUGGCUCGUCGUCAGAGCCCUGGAAAGGUCAUAUCCCGAAAGGGGUAUGGGGUCGAAAGACUC